rnacentral:rRNA from 1 species
GUCCACGCCUAACGAUGUCGACUGGUUGUUGGGUUGACACUCUCAGUAACGAAGCUAACGCGUGAAGUCGACCGCCUGGGAGUACGGCCGCAAGGUUAACUACAAGGAAUUGACGGGACCCGCACAAGCGGUGGAUUAUGUGGAUUAAUUCGAUGCAACGCGAAACCUUAACCUACCCUUGACAUGUCCGAGAGCCCGCAGAGAUGUGGGUGUGCCCGAAAGGGAAUCGGAACACAGGUGCUGCAUGGCUGUCGU